rnacentral:misc_RNA from 1 species
GUAACAAGGUUUCCGUAGGUGAACCUGCGGAAGGAUCAUUAAUUAUGUUAAAGCGCCUUACCUCUUAGGGUUUCCUCUGGGGUAAGUGAUUGCUUCUACACUGUGAAAAUUUGGCUGAGAGACUCAGACUGGUCAUGGGUAGACCUAUCUGGGGUUUGAUCGAUGCCACUCCUGGUUUCAGGAGCACCCUUCAUAAUAAACCUAGAAAUUCAGUAUUAUAAAGUUUAAUAAAAAACAACUUUUAACAAUGGAUCUCUUGGUUCUCGCAUCGAUGAAGAACGUAGCAAAGUGCGAUAACUAGUGUGAAUUGCAUAUUCAGUGAAUCAUCGAGUCUUUGAACGCAGCUUGCACUCUAUGGUUUUUCUAUAGAGUACGCCUGCUUCAGUAUCAUCACAAACCCACACAUAACAUUUGUUUAUGUGGUAAUGGGUCGCAUCGCUGUUUUAUUACAGUGAGCACCUAAAAUGUGUGUGAUUUUCUGUCUGGCUUGCUAGGCAGGAAUAUUACGCUGGUCUCAGGAUCUUUUUCUUUGGUUCGCCCAGGAAGUAAAGUACAAGAGUAUAAUCCAGCAACUUUCAAACUAUGAUCUGAAGUCAGGUGGGAUUACCCGCUGAACCUAAGCAUAUC